rnacentral:rRNA from 1 species
UACGGGGGGGGCAAGCGUUGUUCGGAAUUACUGGGCGUAAAGGGCCAGUAGGCGGCCAACUAAGUCCGACGUGAAAUCCCCAGGCUUAACUUGGGAACUGCGUCGGAUACUGAUUGGCUUGAAUCCGGGAGAGGGAUGCAGAAUUCCAGGUGUAGCGGUGAAAUGCGUAGAUAUCUGGAGGAAUACCGGUGGCGAAGGCGGCAUCCUGGACCGGCAUUGACGCUGAACGGCGAAAGCUAGGGGAGCAAACGGG